rnacentral:rRNA from 1 species
CAAUCGAACCCGGAGAUAGCUGGUUCUCCCCGAAAUAGCUUUAGGGCUAGCGUCGGAAAGAACCUUAGUGAAGGUAGAGCACUGAAUGUGUGAUGGCCCCAUCCCGGGGUACUGAAUACAAUCAAACUGCGAAUGUCAUUAAGGAUGUCCGGCAGUCAGACUGUGAGUGAUAAGGUCCAUGGUCAAGAGGGAAACAGCCCAGACCGCCAGUUAAGGUCCCAAAAUACAGGCUAAGUGGAAAAGGAUGUGGGGAUGCCCAGACAACUAGGAGGUUGGCUCAGAAGCAGCCAUCCUUUAAAGAGUGCGUAACAGCUCACUAGUCGAGUGACCCUGCGCCGAAAAUGUACCGGGGCUAAGCCUGAUACCGAAACUGCGGAUUGUAGGAAACUAUAGUGGUAGGGGAGCGUUGUAUACGAGCAGAAGCCGUACCGUGAGGAGCGGUGGAUUGUAUAGAAGUGAGAAUGCCGGUGUGAGUAGCGAGAUGUAGGUGAGAAUCCUACACACCGAAAGCCCAAGGAUUCCAGGGGAAGGUUCGUCCGCCCUGGGUAAGUCGGGACCUAACGCGAGGCCGAAAGGCGUAGUGGAUGGAAAGCAGGCGAAAGAUUCCUGCACCCGUAUAUGGAGCGAAGGAGUGACGGAGACGGAUAGUGUGACCCUCUUAAUGGAUUGAGGGCGAAGCGAAGCGGCUGGUUACCAGGCAAAUCCGGUAACCAAAAGGCUAGAGCGUGACAGGUAAGCGAAAUCUUCGGAAAGUAGCGAAGCACAUGAUGACGGCUUCCAGGAAAAGCUUCUGGCAAUGCAUAUGCGGCCCGUACCAAAACCGACACAGGUGGGCAGGGAGAGAAUCCCGAGGUGAGCGAGAGAACUGUUGCCAAGGAACUCGGCAAAAUGACUCCGUAAGUUAGCGAGAAGGAGUGCUUAAGCAAUUAAGCCGCAGUGAAGAGGCCCAAGCGACUGUUUAACUAAAACACAGCUCUCUGCGAAGUCGCAAGACGAAGUAUAGGGGGUGACACCUGCCCGGUGCUGGAAGGUUAAGAGGAUCUGUUAAGAGCGAUCUGAAGCAGUGAUCCGAAGCCCCAGUGAACGGCGGCCGUAACUAUAACGGUCCUAAGGUAGCGAAAUUCCUUGUCAGGUAAGUUCUGACCCGCACGAAAGGUGUAACGAUUUGGGCGCUGUCUCGGCAGCAGACUCGGUGAAAUCUUAGUACCUGUGAAAAUGCAGGUUACCCGCAACUAGACGGAAAGACCCCAUGGAGCUUUACUGCAGCCUGAUAUUGAAUUCUGGUCAUACAUGUACAGGAUAGGUGGGAGACAAAGAGACGUGCACGCCAGUGUACGAGGAGUCGACGUUGGGAUACCACUCUUGUGUGACCGGGGUUCUAACCUGGUAUCGAGAACAGGUACGGGGAGAGUGUCAGGUGGGCAGUUUGACUGGGGCGGUCGCCUCCCAAAGAGUAACGGAGGCGCCCAAAGGUUCCCUCAGCGCGGCCGGAAAUCGCGCGAAGAGUGUAAAGGCAGAAGGGAGCUUGACUGAGAGCCAAACACGGCGAUCAGGUACGAAAGUAGGGCUUAGUGAUCCGGUGGCAUCCAAGUGGAAGGGCCAUCGCUCAACGGAUAAAAGCUACCCUGGGGAUAACAGGCUAAUCUCUCCCAAGAGUCCAUAUCGACGGGGAGGUUUGGCACCUCGAUGUCGGCUCAUCACAUCCUGGGGCUGAAGUCGGUCCCAAGGGUUGGGCUGUUCGCCCAUUAAAGUGGUACGUGAGCUGGGUUCAGAACGUCGUGAGACAGUUCGGUCCCUAUCCAUCGCGGGCGCAAGAGAUUUGAAGGGGGCUGCUCCUAGUACGAGAGGACCGGAGUGGACGAACCAAUGGUGUACCAAUUAUCUCGCCAGAGGUAUAGUUGGGUAGCUACGUUCGGAAAGGAUAAACGCUGAAAGCAUCUAAGCGUGAAACCAGCCUUAAGAUGAGAUCUCUCAUAGAGUAAUCUAGUAAGACACCUUGGAGAAGACGAGGUUGAUAGGUCGGGAGUGUAAGUACAGUAAUGUAUUCAGCGGACCGAUACUAAUAUGUCGAGGGCUUGACUU